GACGAACGCUGGCGGCGUGCUUAACACAUGCAAGUCGAACGGAAAGGCCCUGCUUGCAGGGUACUCGAGUGGCGAACGGGUGAGUAACACGUGGGUGAUCUGCCCUGCACUUCGGGAUAAGCCUGGGAAACUGGGUCUAAUACCGGAUAGGAGCCAUUUUUAGUGUGAUGGUUGGAAAGUUUUUUCGGUGUAGGAUGAGCUCGCGGCCUAUCAGCUUGUUGGUGGGGUAAUGGCCUACCAAGGCGGCGACGGGUAGCCGGCCUGAGAGGGUGGACGGCCACAUUGGGACUGAGAUACGGCCCAGACUCCUACGGGAGGCAGCAGUGGGGAAUAUUGCACAAUGGGCGCAAGCCUGAUGCAGCGACGCCGCGUGGGGGAUGACGGCCUUCGGGUUGUAAACUCCUUUCGCUAGGGACGAAGCUUUUGUGACGGUACCUGGAUAAGAAGCACCGGCUAACUACGUG
rnacentral:rRNA from 1 species